UACGGAGGGUGCAAGCGUUAUCCGGAUUCACUGGGUUUAAAGGGUGCGUAGGUGGGUAAGUAAGUCAGUGGUGAAAUCUCCGGGCUUAACUCGGAAACUGCCGUUGAUACUAUCUGUCUUGAAUAUCGUGGAGGUUAGCGGAAUAUGUCAUGUAGCGGUGAAAUGCUUAGAUAUGACGUAGAACACCGAUUGCGAAGGCAGCUAACUACACGAUCAUUGACACUGAGGCACGAAAGCGUGGGGAGCAAACAGG
rnacentral:rRNA from 1 species